GGGGACGAUCCGGUCUCGACAGUGUAGGUGAAAAGUGAAGUAGCGAGUCGAGGAUGAUCGUUGGCCUCGUUAAUCAUCGGUCAAGCCUUUUAAAUGGCAACAACAACGAAGUUCAGUUCCAAUUUGCGGCCUAAACCCCUGCACAGCAACUGCAAAGCCCGGCUAUUGGCGUUGUAGAAGCUGACACAAAAGAUAGCUAGCAAUAGGUUGCAUCUCACGGCCUAAAGCGAAAAUAAAGUGAGGUUGCCUCUUUGAGCAGCGUGUCCGUGUGCGGCUUGGGAGUAAGACAAAUCACGAACUACACUCGUAGAAGCUAGCUUGAAGCGACAUUGGACGCGGGUUCGACUCCCGCCGUCUCCACCA
rnacentral:tmRNA from 1 species